rnacentral:rRNA from 1 species
UACGAAGGGUGCAAGCGUUACUCGGAAUUACUGGGCGUAAAGCGUGCGUAGGUGGUUUGUUAAGUCUGAUGUGAAAGCCCUGGGCUCAACCUGGGAAUUGCAUUGGAUACUGGCAGGCUAGAGUGCGGUAGAGGGUAGUGGAAUUCCCGGCGUAGCAGUGAAAUGCGUAGAGAUCGGGAGGAACACCAGUGGCGAAGGCGACUACCUGGACCAGCACUGACACUGAGGCACGAAAGCGUGGGGAGCAAACAGG